UCAGCUCUGGCCGCCGUGGGCACGCACAGAACAAGCUCACCGUGCCCUUCAGUGGACUUACCUUACCAGCAGGAGCCCGCAGAAGGUUCCAGCCACGAGGCCAGGUCCUUUGGAAGGUCUGGAAGAAUCAACAGCUGCAGGAUCAUCUGGUGCAACAGUGGGAAGGAACCUACAAACGUCUCCAGAAGACUUACUCCUUCCUCCCUAAAGUUAGCCGGAGUGAAGGCUUGGGUCCAUUACACCCAAUUAAAAGGAGGUCCAUUUGAACCAGUCCAACAGCCAGCUUCUGGCACCUUGGUCCUGCAAACUUCUCCAAGACUUAAAGUACAGCUCCACCAACAAGAUGAUCAAUUGGUUCAAAAUAUGGUGUUUGCACUUCUAUCAUAAGGCAUGCUGUGCAUAGAUAACCACCUCAGCAGAAGAAGAACUAGCACUGACAUCUAUCUCCCAGGUACCUACUUGGACUCAGCACCCACUUUGGUAAUAUUUUGGGUGAAUCUGGCUAGAAAGUGUUUUACCUAUUUGGGGAUCCUGGCUAACGCCUUUAGUGACUGCAGUAGUUCUUCCAUACAACUGUCUGCAGGGUCUAGCAAAAUAAAGGCAGAAGGCGUAACCACAAAUGCCCAAGUAAACUAAUGCUUUUUCAUUGCCUAACUUACCCUAUCCUUUUCUGCAGACUGAUAAAAGUUGUCGAAUCCAACAAGAAGUAAAUGCUUUCUGCUAGUUGGCAGAACCCUGGAUGGCUGAUCACCCUACCCCCAUAAAUCCUUAUCUACGCCCUCAAUCAGCAGGAAGUAGCCAGACAAGAACAUCGUCCCAUUUCCCCAAAAUGGAAAACUACCCAAAAAAGGAGCUGAUGCCGUACAAAGCCAAGAUGACUCCAUUUUUUAAAAAUGCCAACCCCGACCCAUCAUUCCUAUGACCGCCUAACCAUUACCCCUUAGGACUGUUGCUGAAAUAAAGAAAAACAUCCAUGUG